rnacentral:sRNA from 1 species
CAGCCGAGGGCGGCCUGAGUCCGGCGCAGGUGACCGGCGCGCGGGAGCGCUACGGCCCCAACGAGCUCCCGAGUGAGGAAGGGAAGUCCCUGUGGGAGCUGGUGCUGGAACAGUUUGAGGACCUCCUGGUGCGCAUCCUGCUGCUGGCCGCCCUUGUCUCCUUUGUAAGUAGGGCCCUGCCUGCCAUCCCGUGGUAGUGGGUAGCCCUGGAGGGAGAGCCAGGCUGGGCA